UACGAAGGGGGCUAGCGUUGUUCGGAUUUACUGGGCGUGAAGCGCACGUAGGCGGAUCGUUAAGUCGGGGGUGAAAUCCUGGAGCUCAACUCCAGAACUGCCUUCGAUACUGGAAGACUCGAGUCCGGGAGAGGUGAGUGGAACUGCGAGUGUAGAGGUGAAAUUCGUAGAUAUUCGCAAGAACACCAGUGGCGAAGGCGGCUCACUGGCCCGGUACUGACGCUGAGGUGCGAAAGCGUGGGGAGCAAACAGG
rnacentral:rRNA from 1 species